GUACACGCUGUGACUAGCAUAUCAAUAAGCGGAGGAAAAGAAACUAACAAGGAUUCCCCUAGUAACGGCGAGUGAAGCGGGAAGAGCUCAAAUUUGAAAUCUUAAAGGGUUUCCCUUUACGAAUUGUAGUUUAAAGAAGUGUUUUCUGUUGAGGUUUUGGUAAAAGUUCUUUGGAAUAGGACAUCAUAGAGGGUGAGAAUCCCGUAUUUGACCUUUACUUUCAACUUUGUGAUACACUUUCAAAGAGUCGGAUUGUUUGGGAAUGCAGUCCAAAAUGGGUGGUAAAUUUCAUCUAAAGCUAAAUAUUGGCGAGAGACCGAUAGCGAACAAGUACCGUGAGGGAAAGGAUGAAAAGAACUUUGAAAAGAGAGUUAAACAGUACGUGAAAUUGUCAAAAGGGAAGCGUUUGACACCAGUGUUGUUUUCUCUGAAAAUCAAUUAAAGAACUGUAUAUGCUAAGUUGUUUAGACUUUAUCAGCUAACUGUUUAGUUUUGAGCUUUUCUUUAAUGCACUUUUCAGUUAACAAGUCAACAUCAAUUUCUUUUGCUGUAAAAAAGCUUGAGGAAGGUGGCUUGAGAUUCGUCUUAAGUGUUUAUAGCCUCUUGCCUAUGCAGUCGGAGAGAUUGAGGUCUGCAGCGUAGAUCCUUCGGGGCUAAAUGCAUUUGUGCUAAGUUAUAGCAUUUUAUAGACAACUUGUUGACUAUGAUUUGUCUUGUAGCUUACUCGCUUAUGUUAUUUUACCUACACUUAGGAUGUUGACAGCAGUAUAGACUGU
rnacentral:rRNA from 1 species